UGGUGGAGUGAUUUGUCUGGUUAAUUCCGUUAACGAACGAGACCUCAGCCUGCUAAAUAGUGAUUGGAUUUAUGGUUUACGCCUUGAAUCUAAGUACACUUCUUAGAGGGACUAUUGGUGUAGAAGCCAAUGGAAGUUUGAGGCAAUAACA
rnacentral:rRNA from 1 species